CCUGACUGGCAGUGAGAAUUUUAAGCUGAUACAUCUGUUCAGGAAAGAAAGCUUGUAGACCUGAGAAUGCGUCCUUACUGAGAUCUAUUAAAGGCCUGCAAAGGUAAUCAUGGCAGUAUUAGGUCAUCAGAGAUCAGUUCCCCAGCCAGUCAGGAAAA